rnacentral:rRNA from 1 species
AUUGAACGCUGGCGGAAUGCUUUACACAUGCAAGUCGAACGGCAGCACGGGUGCUUGCACCUGGUGGCGAGUGGCGAACGGGUGAGUAAUAUAUCGGAACGUGUCCAAUAAUGGGGGACAACAUAUCGAAAGAUGUGCUAAUACCGCAUACGCCCUGAGGGGGAAGCGGAGGAUCGUAAGACUUCGCGUUAAUGGAUCGGCCGAUAUCGGAUUAGCUAGUUGGUGAGGUAAAAGCUCACCAAGGCGACGAUCCGUAGCUGGUCUGAGAGGACGACCAGCCACACUGGAACUGAGACACGGUCCAGACUCCUACGGGAGGCAGCAGUGGGGAAUUUUGGACAAUGGGGGCAACCCUGAUCCAGCCAUUCCGCGUGAGUGAAGAAGGCCUUCGGGUUGUAAAGCUCUUUCGCAAGGGAAGAAAACUUAGGCUCUAACAUAGCCUGAGGUUGACGGUACCUUGAUAAGAAGCACCGGCUAACUACGUGCCAGCCGCCGCCGUAA